GAAGUCGACAUCGUAGCAGAACCAUUCUUGCAUCAGAUUAUUUUGUGAUUUUGCUGGUUUUCGAGGUUUAGCACAUGAACGCGUCAUCCGCGUAAUAUCAGCGAGGUCCCUAAAAAUGUAAAAUUUAAUUCUUCAUGGCGUUAUAUUCUAAUGUCGUAGGAGAUGUACCUGUAGAACGUGUAUUGUUAGAUAAAUUGUACGUUUCGUACGUUGUUAUGUCGAUAACUUGUAACUGUUUGUUUACAUUUAGUCAUUUUGAAAAGUUUUUGGAUUAUAUAUAAUAUGGAUUGUGUUUUAUUAAUUUUCAUUCAAGUGAGGGAGAUAGAAAUACGAGGAUUGGGUGAUAGCGGGUGAGUUAGAAUAAGAGAGUAAUAUCCAAGUUUCAUGUUCAAUCCAUGUUCUUUAUAUGAUCUGCGAACUUUUCACACUUUGAUUAUGAUGUCACUUCGACCUUGGCCUGCGCAGCACGCUGUGCGCUGUUAUUUGAAAUUUGAACAGUACCGCACCGGUCGCCGUGCGUCGUCGGGUUCAAGUGACAAUUCGCUAUACUGCUCAGUACAUCUUGCGCUGGCGUAUUGGUUGUUGUUUUUACUGUUUAGUCAGUCGGUGGUACGCAAUUGUGCUAUGUGCACGUGUUCCAUUUCUUCUCCGCCAUUGUUCGUCGGGACUGUUAGUAUUUCGGGCGAUUUUAAUACCGUGCGAGCCUUGUGAUUUAUCUCGACUCGAGACUUAAGACACCACGUGCGCGUGUGUAAGCCAUCAGUCGCCGGCCUUCGGAUCUCUUGCGUUGGGCUACGGAUUCCAAAUGGAUUUAUAGGCCAAUAUGGUAUUGUAAAUUAGAAGGGAUAAAUCACGCGUUUUCUCCGUGUGGCAUAGUUGUUAGUGCAAAAGUUAUACAGUGAGUAGUAACAUCAAUUCUACUAACAAUUCAGCUUUACGUGUAACAUUUCAUAAGAGAGCGUUGUGGCUCGUUGGUAUGUAGGAUAUGCCUUGGAUCGUACGUACGUUCGUUUUAUUACAAAAGAAAGAAGAAUGUAUUGUUAAAUAUAAUUAAUAAAACUAAAUUUACAAUUAAAA